rfam:Eurypyga helias contig39797, whole genome shotgun sequence.
CCAACGGCUCUUUUAAGAGCCACCCAAACUUUCCCAAAAGAGCUG